GAUGAACGCUGGCGGCGUGCCUAAUACAUGCAAGUCGAGCGGACAGGCGAGGAGUUUCCUGCGUCGACGAUAGCGGCGGGGGUGUGUGUCACGCGUGGAUAAUCUCCCUAUCAGACUGGGAAACCUUCGGAACAGCGGCUCAUACUCGAGAUGAUCUUUCUCACCGCAUGGUUCGGUGGAAAGAGAUUGUUUUUCGGUUGCGUCUACGUGCAACCGCCCCGUAUGUGGUAGUUGGUAAGGUAAAGGCGUACCAAGGCAACGAUCCGUAGCCGACCUGAGAGGGUGGUCGGCCACCCUGGAACUGAGACACGGUCCAGACUACUACGGGACGCAGCAGUAGGGAAUCGGCCGCAAUGGGCGAAAGCCUGACGGAGUAACGGCGAGUGAGUGAUGAAGGUCUCCGGAGCGUAAAACUCUGUUAUUAGGGAAGAACCAAUGUGUAAGGAAAUGUGGACGUCGUGACGGUACCUAAUCAGAAAGCCACGGCUAACUACGUG
rnacentral:rRNA from 1 species